UGGGUAGGGGAGCGUUCUGUAAGCCUGUGAAGGUGGCCUGUGAGGGUUGCUGGAGGUAUCAGAAGUGCGAAUGCUGACAUAAGUAACGAUAAAGCGGGUGAAAAGCCCGCUCGCCGGAAGACCAAGGGUUCCUGUCCAACGUUAAUCGGGGCAGGGUGAGUCGACCCCUAAGGCGAGGCCGAAAGGCGUAGUCGAUGGGAAACGGGUUAAUAUUCCCGUACUUGGUGUUACUGCGAAGGGGGGACGGAGAAGGCUAUGUUGGCCGGGCGACGGUUGUCCCGGUUUAAGCGUGUAGGCUGGUUUUCCAGGCAAAUCCGGAAAAUCAAGGCUGAGGCGUGACGACGAGGCACUACGGUGCUGAAGCAACAAAUGCCCUGCUUCCAGGAAAAGCCUCUAAGCAUCAGGUAACAUCAAAUCGUACCCCAAACCGACACAGGUGGUCAGGUAGAGAAUACCAAGGCGCUUGAGAGAACUCGGGUGAAGGAACUAGGCAAAAUGGUGCCGUAACUUCGGGAGAAGGCACGCUGACACGUAGGUGAAGUGAUUUACUCAUGGAUCUGAAGUCAGUCGAAGAUACCAGCUGGCUGCAACUGUUUAUUAAAAACACAGCACUGUGCAAACACGAAAGUGGACGUAUACGGUGUGACGCCUGCCCGGUGCCGGAAGGUUAAUUGAUGGGGUCAGCGCAAGCGAAGCUCCUGAUCGAAGCCCCGGUAAACGGCGGCCGUAACUAUAACGGUCCUAAGGUAGCGAAAUUCCUUGUCGGGUAAGUUCCGACCUGCACGAAUGGCGUAAUGAUGGCCAGGCUGUCUCCACCCGAGACUCAGUGAAAUUGAACUCGCUGUGAAGAUGCAGUGUACCCGCGGCAAGACGGAAAGACCCCGUGAACCUUUACUAUAGCUUGACACUGAACAUUGAGCCUUGAUGUGUAGGAUAGGUGGGAGGCUUUGAAGUGUGGACGCCAGUCUGCAUGGAGCCGACCUUGAAAUACCACCCUUUAAUGUUUGAUGUUCUAACGUGGACCCGUAAUCCGGGUUGCGGACAGUGUCUGGUGGGUAGUUUGACUGGGGCGGUCUCCUCCUAAAGAGUAACGGAGGAGCACGAAGGUUGGCUAAUCCUGGUCGGACAUCAGGAGGUUAGUGCAAUGGCAUAAGCCAGCUUGACUGCGAGCGUGACGGCGCGAGCAGGUGCGAAAGCAGGUCAUAGUGAUCCGGUGGUUCUGAAUGGAAGGGCCAUCGCUCAACGGAUAAAAGGUACUCCGGGGAUAACAGGCUGAUACCGCCCAAGAGUUCAUAUCGACGGCGGUGUUUGGCACCUCGAUGUCGGCUCAUCACAUCCUGGGGCUGAAGUAGGUCCCAAGGGUAUGGCUGUUCGCCAUUUAAAGUGGUACGCGAGCUGGGUUUAGAACGUCGUGAGACAGUUCGGUCCCUAUCUGCCGUGGGCGCUGGAGAACUGAGGGGGGCUGCUCCUAGUACGAGAGGACCGGAGUGGACGCAUCACUGGUGUUCGGGUUGUCAUGCCAAUGGCACUGCCCGGUAGCUAAAUGCGGAAGAGAUAAGUGCUGAAAGCAUCUAAGCACGAAACUUGCCCCGAGAUGAGUUCU
rnacentral:rRNA from 1 species